AUUGAACGCUGGCGGCGUGCCUAACACAUGCAAGUCGAGCGGUAACAGGUGUAGCAAUACAUGCUGACGAGCGGCGAACGGGUGAGUAACGCUUCGGAAUCUGCCCAGUAGUGGGGAAUAACUAACCGAAAGGUUAGCUAAUGCCGCAUACGACCUACGGGUGAAAGGAGGGGAUCGUAAGACCUUUCGCUAUUGGAUGAGCCGAAGUCGGAUUAGCUAGUUGGUGAGGUAACGGCUCACCAAGGCGACAAUCCGUAGCUGGUCUGAGAG
rnacentral:rRNA from 1 species